CCCAAGACAAGUAUCCGAGUGCUCAUAAAGUUUUGUUUCAUUUUGUUUUGCUUUUGGAGGUGAUUCCAGUAAGCACCGGUAAGGAGGCUGAGAAAUUUGAAAGGAAAGAAGUUCAUACAGCGUGUGUUCAUGAAUAGGUUACCGUCAGAGGAAACUGAAGCUCACUCCUGCUGGGGAACUCUGAGACACAAUGCAGAACAUGCCUUGGAGUUGACCCCCCAAGGGUAAAAAGAUAGAGUACAUAUCUUCCAACCCCAGUCUGUCAUUGUCUGAGGGCUGUUCCUGGGGGUGUCACCUCCCCAGAACUGCUGGUCUACCUCAGGAGCGAGAUUCCAGGAGAAGCCCUCAAAGGCAGAGUUGCGGAUGCCUGCACUAGAAGCCAUCUGCAUGCAUGGGAAUGGCUGGAACUAAGACAUAAGGGCAGGAUCCUGAGCAGCUGUCUUGGAUCACGAGGAGGUAGCUGUGUGGUGGGGAUGGAAGAGCAAGAACUGGAGAACCCUUUUGGUGAUUGUAGAGCCACUAUAUUGACCCUGGGCUACUCAAUGGGAUCUACAUGUGUGGGAGAAAUGAACUUCGAUUUUGUCUGAACCCCUGUUAGCUUCACUAUCUGUAAAAGCAGUCAACCUUUAUUCCAUGUUGUUACCUCCUAUACACACCUCCAGGGCAGCCUUGAAUAAUCUAUUAGCCUUGAUUAUCUAGUAACUGUGUCUGGAUGAUACUUUGCAUUUUGCCUACUCAGCCUCUGCAUUUACUGUGAUCCUCACCUGGAUCAUUUGCUCUCUUUUCUCUCCUUGCUCCCCUCUCUGCCCACGACCAUCUUUCAGCACUCAUAUCAAUACCUCUUUGUACUGGAGCCUUCCCAGAGCACUCUACAUCCAAUGAGUUCACUUUCCAUUAAUUCCAAGCUUCUGGAAUCUGUACUUACAGUUUGGUUCAGUUCAAGACACACUAAUUGGGCAUCUCCUCUAGUAAGAAGGGUUUUGGUUAGAGAUACAGAGUAAAGAGGUUCCCCUUUCAAGGGGUUUAAGAUUAUGGGUUGCCUGUCAAGCAUCUUGAAUUGUAAUCUUCAUUCACUCAUUUAUUCCACAAGCAUCAAUUUGACACCUACUGGGUGCUUGGCAUGUUCCAGGAUCUUUGUAUUCUAAGGAGAAGAAUAUACAACCUCUGUUUCCAGAGAGCUCUCAACUCUUCAUCUAUUAUUUCAUUCAACAAAUAUAUUUCUGGUUCUACUAUGUGCCAGGCUGUAGGCUAGUAGGGGAUUCAACAAUGACAGAGCAGAGAGGAUCUUUGCCCUCAUGGAACUUAAGCUCUGGUUAGGGUAGGGACAGACCAUAAGCACAUUAACAAAUAAAAGUGCGAGGUAACUGCA
rnacentral:lncRNA from 13 species